rnacentral:lncRNA from 1 species
GCAAAAGUAUUUAUUAAAGAAAUAAAAUUGCCUGCACUUGGAUUAUGGAUGGUGAUAUGGUUUGGAUUUGCUGCUCUACCCAAAUUUCAUGUUGAAUUCCAAUCCCCAAUGUUGGAGAGGGUCCAGGCAAAUAAACAAAUGACUGCUGAUUGGAGUGAUUGAUACUGACAACCAAGGAGAAAUUGGGCUACUACUCCACAGCAGAGGUAAAGAAGAGUAUGUCUGUAAUACAGAAGCUCCCUUAAGGGAUCUCUCAGUAUUAUCAGUUCUUGUGAUUAAGGUCAUUA